rnacentral:tRNA from 1 species
GGGCUUGUAGCUCAGCUGGUAGAGCAUUCGGCUUACAUCCGAAAGGUCGCAGGUUCGAGACCUGCCAAGCCCA